UACGGGGGGAGCAAGCGUUGUUCGGAUUUACUGGGCGUAAAGGGCGCGUAGGCGGCCACCGCAAGUCGACUGUGAAAUCUCCGGGCUUAACCCGGAAAGGUCAGCCGAUACUGCAGGGCUAGAGUGCAGAAGGGGCAACUGGAAUUCUCGGUGUAGCGGUGAAAUGCGUAGAUAUCGAGAGGAACACCUGCGGCGAAGGCGGGUUGCUGGGCUGACACUGACGCUGAUGUGCGAAAGCUAGGGGAGCGAACGGG
rnacentral:rRNA from 1 species